AUUCCAGCUCCAAUAGCGUAUAUUAAAGUUGUUGCAGUUAAAAAGCUCGUAGUUGGAUUUCUGGUAGAAGUAGCGACCUUGGGUCUUUGACCUAUGAAGUUGCUAUCUUCAACCAUCCUUGAAGAGAUUUAGUUUGGCAUUAAGUUGUCGAACUAAAGAUAUUCAUCUUUUACUGUGAAAAAAUCAGAACGUUCAAAGUAAGCAUUUAGCUUUGAAUGUAUUAGCAUGGAAUAAUGAAAUAGGACUUAGGUACUACUUUGUUGGUUUAUGCACCUAGGUAAUGAUUAAUAGGGAUAGUUGGGGGUAUUCGUAUUCCAAUGUUAGAGGUGAAAUUCUUGGAUUUUUGGAAGACGAACAACUGCGAAAGCAUUUACCAAGGAUGUUUUCAUCA
rnacentral:rRNA from 1 species